GGAAACUUAAUAGGCUGUUGAAGCGAAAACCCUCAGAAGAGGUUGUUUCAACCAGACUUUCCUUUCUGAUAAAUCACUGGAGCUGCCUAAACUGAAUCCCAUCAAUCCUCUGUUCUCUGCUAGCCCUUUGUCUUAGCCCACUUGGGCUGCUAUAACAGGAAUGGCAUACACUGCGUGGCUUAUAAACAAUAGAAAUUUAUUGCUCACUGUUCUGAGGGCUGGGAAGUCCAAAAUUAAGGCACCUGAAGUUGCUGUGUCUGGUGAGGGCAUGCUUUCUGCUUCAUAGAUCGCACCUUCUAACAAUGUCCUCACAGGGUGGAAGGGGCUAGCUUUUUGGGUUCUCUUAUAAAGGCAAUCAUCUCAUUCACGAGGGUGGAGCCUCAUGACCUAAACCCCUCCCAAAAGCUCUCAUCUUGUAAUACUGUCACAUUGGGGAUCAGGUUUCAACUUAGGAAUUUUGGAGGAACAUAAACAUUCGGAUCAUAACAUCCUUCGUUUCCCACAUUCUUGGCAAUUUCUUCCCUGGCUCAUUGCCAACUGCCCUACUGUCCCUGACUACCUGUGACGGUUAAUUUUAGGUGUCAAUUUGACUGGACUAAAGGAUGCACAGAUAGCUGAUAAAACAUUAAUUCUGGGUGUGUCUGUGAGGGGGUUUCUGGAAGAAAUUAGCGUUUAACUCAGUAGACUGAGUAAAGCAGAUCACCCCCACCAGUGGGAGUGGGCAUCCUGCAAUCCAUUGAGGGCCUAAAUACUAAUAGAAGAAAAAGGCAAAGGAGGGGCGAAUUCACUUUCUCUGUUGGAGCUGGGACAUCCAUCUUCUCCUGCCCUCAGAUAUCAGAACCCCUGGUUCUCAGACCUUUGGACCUGAACUGAAUUAUACCACUGGCUUUUCUAGUUCUCCAGCUUGCAGAGAGCAGAUCAUGAUACUUAGCCUCCAUAAUCACAUAGGAAAAUUCCUAUAAAUAAUAAACGUGUGUGUGUGUGUGUUUGUACGCGUGCGCAUGUGUAUGUGUGUGUAUAUGAUGGUUUCUUUGGAGAAUCCUAUUACUCAAGACUGCCUUUUCUUCAUCAAAUAUGUUGAUGCAGGUAGGAUGAAGUGUCAGCAAAUGAGCAUAUUCUAAUUUACUCUUUCACUUUAAAAAACAAAACCAGAUAAUCAUGGCAAGAAACCCUCCUUGACCCUCUGCAUUUCUGCCUUAUUUCUCUAUUUUCAUCCACAGUCAAAAUUCUCAGGAGUUGUCUGCAUACCCUGUCUUCAGUUUUGCAUGACUCAUUCACCCUUCAACCUCCUCCAACCUGGCUUCUACUCCCUCAGCUCCACCCACGACAUUUGCUGAAGCCAUAAAUUACCUUCAGAAUCAGAGAGCUGGUACCAUUUUAGUAGGUUCGUGGCCUGCCUGAAAACUAUGACCUUGGAGCAUCAUUUACUCAAAAUGCUAAUCCAAAAACAGGACAUCAAAACUAGUCAUCCUUCACCUCAUGGAAAUGAAUACCCCAAGGUUUCCUCUGGUCACUUUCCACACAUCCUCAUUUGGCCCCUGCUCAUGAGCAAGUUGAUUUAGGAGAUGGUGCCUGGCAGUUCCUCCUCUGAUUAUCCAGGGAAGACAGAAAAAGAGGAAAACAGGAGACAAGAAGUAAAGCUUAGAACAGAGAGGUAACCAUUAACCAGUAAGGGCUAAUAGAUGAGUCCAGAGAAAAGAUAACAAAGGAGGCAAGGAGAGCAUGGUAAGCCAUGGUAGGGGUGAGGGAAAGAUAUUGAAGAUUGAACUCCACCAGUGUGGGAUAAUGUUUGUAUGUGGACUGUGUUGUGUCUCAGGUUCAGGUUGUUUAAGCAGCCUAGUGACCCAGAUGGUCCCCUCCUUAGUGUCUGGUUUUGUCAGGUUGUAACUUGGCUUUUUCAGUUCCCUAAUAUCUCACAUUAUCUCCUCUUCCUCCUAGGCCUUAAUCAUGUCUUACUUUUUUACCUCCCAAUUGGUUGAUAUUGAAUUCUUAUUAAAUAAAAAUGUACUCUUUACUCUUGAGUUAAAAUUCUGAUGGGGGAAGAAUGUAUACACAGAAAUAAUGUCACAACUAUUUAUGUUAAUUAAAGGAAAUACAGAGCAAGGUCAACUGAGAUAUUCCGGAGAAGGGAGUUUCCUUAGGGUAUUGCCGCAUGGACAUACGUGCUCACUGUGGCACAGAAACACCUGCAGAUUUUUCUUUCACGUAAGACUCAGAGGCAAAGUUACUGUAAUCAAGAAUAUGUUGUUAAGAAGGCCUGGUAUUAAUACUGUCAUUGGUAAGCAUUUUGUAACUUAUAUAAAGCAGACCUUGGGUUUUCAGGACACUUCAUCUGCUAAUUGUCAACAAAAUACAGCUGAGGUUGCAAUGUGUCAGCAAGAAUGUCAAGGAGGAAGUCAGAGGGUCAAAUCAGCUGGGGCUUGGCCCAUUUACCCUAGGUGGUGUUCUUAAAGACUCAGUGGUUCAUUCUGCUUGGCAGCUUAAAGAGCCAUUGAGGUUCAGAACUAAAAAUGUGUGGGCCAGGAAGAGGGCAGUGAAUGACUGGGACCAACUUGCCAGUGUCUCCCAGGGGCACCGGCUCAGAUAACUGGAAGUCUGGAAGCUUUCUCAUACGCAGCCAGUCCCGUAAGCAGCUCUUGGCAAGACUAAAAAAAAAAAAAAAAAAAAGAAAGAAAAAAAGAAAAGAGCUUCCCACUUGUGUUUCUUAACUGUAACUGUGCCUAAGAAUCACGUGGUGCUUGUCAAAGUGCAUAUUCCUGAGCCCUACUCACAGGCACUUACACGCUCCUUUCGGGGUUGGGCCCAGAGAUCAGCAUUUUCACAGGCACACCAGGUAUUCCAGAAUAAGAUGGUCUGUGGAGCACGUUUUCAGAAAUGCUGCCUUAAAGCCUUCCACGUGUCCCAGCUGUCUAAUCACUGUAUGAGGGUCCAUGAUUUAAUCUAUUUUCAAAGACAGGGGUCUGGAAGUCGUUUUUCUCCUCCCACAUUCAAUCUGUCAUCUCCUUCUGCCACUGUGUUCUAACAUUUCCCUUAAGUUUGGGCCCUCUCCUCAAGCUCCUCACUGAAAAGCACUGUCUAAGCUGGAUGCAUUUCACACGAGAGCUUCUGUGGUUGGACUGCUUAAGUUAAACCAGCCUCCACGAGGGUGUCCAGCAGAGAGGUGCACCUGAGGGAUUAGGGCAACAACCUAACUCGGGCCUCAGUUACUGCAGAAUUCAAUUUGCCAGAGGUGCCAACGUGAAGACCAAAGGUUGAGUCUUACACAGGUCUUCCUGUUUUGUUUCUUUAAACCUUGAACGUUUUGCCAAUGUUUUUAAAUGGGGGGAAUUUCUCAUAGACAUCCAGAUUUCUGGGUGUUCUUAGAAUAUCAGAUCUGGCUAGUUUGGCCAGUUUCCCUAAGGGCAACAGUCAGCUGGGUUGAGGAGAGGCUGCCCUCUUGAGACGCUGUACCAGCCUCCCCAAGCAGAGGUACAUAUUGUCUGAAGAUAAGAAAGCUAACAUGCUAAAGCCUGAUCUUUCAAGGCCCUUGACCCAAUUUUGUAUUUGCAAUUCUGUGUUGUUUUCUUAAAGAGGCCUCCAC
rnacentral:lncRNA from 1 species